AAGGAAGCAGCUGGAACAAAAGUUAGUUCUUAUGGUGGCUGUGAGGUGUCUCUGGAAUCUCUGCAAAACCAAGCAGUGGGUUUUCUGGCUGCCAAGAGCCUGCCCACAUCUGUGUCUGAUUUAUCAGUAAAUAGGUACUUUGGUUAUUUUCUACAAAUGUGAGGGAAGAGGACCAUAACACUCUUACAUCAUUGGCCUUACUGUUAAAUCCCCAAUCUUAGCCUCAGAGCCAUUUUUCCUUAAUUCUCCUUACAAGAGGUGGUUGUGGCUAAAGAAACAGCAAGGGUAGAGACAUAGUGCUUAAUAUAAUUGCUAGCUGCAGCUAUUUUGUGCUUUAUUACCUCUACCACAGGUUUUACAUUUCAUGAGGAUGAUUCUUUUCUCCUCCACCCUUCUAUAUUAGCUCCUUCCUGCUGGCCACAGGAUCUCGUGGGAAUGCAAAAGCUACCACAGUGAGCAGAAAGUUCAAGACGGAUGUUAGAGCUGCUGCAAUACCUCUGAAAUAAAGAUGGACUCAAAGCUCUAGUCCCAGAUUUACAGCAACAUGGUGUGCUGCUGAUUUCUCACGAAGAAGUCAUCAAAAACCAGCUCUGAGAAGCUUCUGCUGUGAAAGAAGUGACGUGUUUGCAACUCAGAAGCUAAGGAAGCUGCCAAAAAACAUAAGGGAGCCAGAUGAGACUUUUAACAGUUGUAUCAGGACCACUGACACAGAUGUAAAUGCUGUGUGGUGUGGUUUAGUUGUAAAUGUUUAAUCCUGUAUAUAAGGGAGGGAAUUUUUUAAAUAAAAAUGUUACUGACUUUUACACUUUCUCUUCCCUUAAUUUUUUUCAGUAUUACAGAUGGUUUUAGUAUUGUAUACUUUUUGAGCUGACAAUUAAUUAAAUCUUGAAUAGCCUACUAAGUUCUAAUGCUCACUUUUAAUUCUUUCAGUCUGUAUAUUUGUCCUGCAUUACUUCUCCAACUUUCCUUCAUCACAGCAUUUUCAUUUGUUUCAAUUUAAUUCACUGGCAGAGAAUUUAAUUUGGUGUUUACAUCAAUUUAUUAAAUACUGCAUGGUGAUUAAAAAUAACUGUUUCUUAUCUAAGUUGAAAGGAAGUAUAAAAACUUUCCACUGUGUGUGUAAAGUUCCAGACCACUUCAGAUAUAUUUUUCCUCAGAAUGUACUGCUGUAUGUGUGUAGUUGUAUUAGAUCUACUGAAUAAGUUGCAUAAUCCCAGACAGUGCUUUCAGGGUGAAGAUGACAGUCUUCCAUCAUGAUGGAGAUUUUGUAAAUGUGCAGUUUUCUGUCAUAAAGGAAUCCAUACUUUACAAUGUUGUCAACAUAUAAGACCCUACUGUGCCUUUUUCUAAACAGUAUGAUAGAAUUUAUUUUUUAAUUCAUUACCUUCUUCCAAGGUGAAAUGUUUCCUACUGUGGAAAAAUCUUGUUGCAAAUUAAAUAAUAUGUUUUAGAGCUGCUGCUACCGGAAUACUAAGGGAAAUGCAUUCACUCAUUCAAGUAGUGUCAAUAAGUCUGAUGAGACCUCAUAAUGAAGUGCAGUUACACUUCUAAAUACUUAUAACUACUGUUCUACAACUUCAGUAUCUGAAUGACCACUGUUGAUUGAUUAAAUAAAUAUAAAACAAACCCCUUUGCUGUCAGAUUUUUUUUUUAUUAUUAAUAAAUAGAAAUUAGAAGUGUGACUGAAAUGCUUAAUAGCUGCUGUUGCCUGAGGUGAUGUGGACUGAUGUCUUUGCUUGGGCACUUUGAAUCACUUGCAAAAUCCAGUGACAUCACCUGAAAAAUAUGAUGUGAAGGAAUUGGAAAUUCUGUGAGGGUUUCUUCAGACUUUUCUACAUGUGGCUUAUGUUCUGUGAGAACUCACAGAAGCAGAUAACUUGUGAAACC